rnacentral:tRNA from 1 species
GCGGGAGUGGCGGAAUGGUAGACGCACGGGACUUAAAAUCCCGGGAUCGCAAGAUCGUGCGGGUUCGAGUCCCGCCUUCCGUA